CUGCUAUCCAGAAAGACCGAGGGACCAGGCCCGAUGACGUCUUGGCAACCUACCACGAGUAGGUGCCAACUCCUGUUCAACCACUAAUUUAGGUUGAAGAAGAUAUCAG
rnacentral:ncRNA from 2 species